ACCAAAAUCAGUAAAUUUGUCAUCACAGUGGCAGGCAUCAUUCACGACAUCAUCAGCGGGAAGUUGGACUUAGGAAAGCAUGAGCUAAAUGGACUCGUUCUUGGAGGUGUCAGUGCCAAGAAUCAUCUUCAGCAUUGAGUAGUCCUUGCCAUGAGGCUUUCGCAAUUGAAUAACCACUCGAUGGUCACGGAGAGCCACUCGAAGGGAUAGUGAUGAUCAUAUCAUAAAGCAAAAGAGGGUUUUUUAUCCAUAGUUUGAAAAGAGAGAAGAGAAGAAAGGAAGAGGAAUAGGAUGGUGG
rnacentral:misc_RNA from 1 species